CAAUAUUGUAAAGUGUUGAGCAUAUAUAACUCCAGUAGAAAUUAUUGACCUCACAGGAAGUUCUCAGCAGCACCGUGUAGGAUCUGGCAUAAACAGAGCAGAGACAGGAGGGUUGCUACUGAGUAUUUUGCAGCUUCCGUUCAAUUCAGUACGAGUUGAGAGAACUGAGCAUCUUGCAAGGAUGGGAGUGUGAGCGAGGCAUUCAUCUGAAGGUAAACUGUGAACUGUACCCAUUUUGGGAUUCUGACAGCAUAAUAAACGUGCACACUGCACUUGCAUACGCCUUAUUUAUAAACUUAUACCAAGGCGAGGGUUCCAAAAGUGGACCAUUUAGGAGGAAAGGAGGUUACUGGAUCACAAAAGGACUUCCCUUAAUAAACAAGUACAAAUGAAGACUCUCCUAGUUGGGGAUACAAGCUGCACUUCUGCUGUUCACUUUCGGUUCUUCCCGUAAAUAUUUCCAACGCAGCCAUGUGCAUCCUCGGCCAGCCCUGGCCCCUUCUGUCGCUGCUCUGGCAUCGUGCUCCGUGAGGGGCGAUUUGGCUAGGCUGCGGCGGUUGCUCCUGCAGCUGGAGCUGCGGAGGGAGGAAGGACACCCCGGGGCAGAGAGCAGCCUGCGGGCAAGGGGCAUGGCAGAAGUGGAACGGAGUGAGUGAGCGAGCGCAGACAGGGGGCCAGGCGGGCCGGGGAAGGGGUUUGACGGCCUCCUCCCCCGCAGGGUGGCGAGGGCAGGGCAGCCGGGCGGAGGCAGGGCUGAGAUGAGGGGCUGGCAGGGCUGAGCGGGAGGCGGCGGCGGCCGAGCCGUGCGUGUGGCCGAGCCCGCCGGUCCCGUCCCUCUGGCUGCUGGUGGCGGGUGCUGCGGGCUGGCUGCCCCCUUGCGCCCCUCCGAGGCCCGGGGGGAGGAGGAAGGAGGAGGCGGAGGAAGCGGCGGCAUCAGGAGCAGGGAGGCGGCGGCGAGGAAGCCUGGUGGAGUCGGAGCCGGGCCCGCAGCGACGGCGGCUCCUUCUCGGAAAUGGCUCUUGAAGUUAAAUGAGACUGGAUAAAAUACAUACAUGAAGCAAAGGCUGCUCUACAUGUGUUAAGGCUAAAAUACCAGAAAGAGUUUUUGAUGAGCC
rnacentral:lncRNA from 1 species